CUCAACGGAUAAAAGGUACCCCGGGGAUAACAGGCUGAUCUUCCCCAAGAGUCCAUAUCGACGGGAUGGUUUGGCACCUCGAUGUCGGCUCGUCGCAUCCUGGGGCUGUAGCAGGUCCCAAGGGUUGGGCUGUUCGCCCAUUAAAGCGGUACGCGAGCUGGGUUUAGAACGUCGUGAGACAGUUCGGUCCCUAUCCGCCGUGCGCGUAGGAUACUUGAGAAGGGCUGUCCCUAGUACGAGAGGACCGGGACGGACGAACCUCUGGUGUGCCAGUUGUCCCGCCAGGGGCACGGCUGGUUAGCUACGUUCGGAAGGGAUAACCGCUGAAAGCAUCUAAGCGGGAAGCUCGCUUCAAGAUGAGGUAUCCCACCCACUUUGUGGGGUAAGGCCCCCAGCUAGACGACUGGGUUGAUAGGCCGGAAAUGUAAGCCCGGUAACGGGUUCAGUUGACCGGUACUAAUAGGCCGAGGACUUGACUAC
rnacentral:rRNA from 1 species